GACGAACGCUGGCGGCGUGCCUAAUACAUGCAAGUUGAGCGAUGAAGCUUGGUGCUUGCCCCAAUUUGAAGAGCAGCGAACGGGUGAGUAACGCGUGGGGAAUCUGCCUUUGAGCGGGGGACAACAUUUGGAAACGAAUGCUAAUACCGCAUAACAACUUUAAACAUAAGUUUUAAGUUUGAAAGAUGCAAUUGCAUCACUCAAAGAUGAUCCCGCGUUGUAUUAGCUAGUUGGUGAGGUAAAGGCUCACCAAGGCGAUGAUACAUAGCCGACCUGAGAGGGUGAUCGGCCACAUUGGGACUGAGACACGGCCCAAACUCCUACGGGAGGCAGCAGUAGGGAAUCUUCGGCAAUGGACGAAAGUCUGACCGAGCAACGCCGCGGGAGUGAAGAAGGGUGUCGGAUCGUAAAACUCUGUUGGUAGAGAAGAACGUUGGUGAGAGUGGAAAGCUCAUCAAGUGACGGUAACUACACAGAAAGGGACGGCUAACUACGUG
rnacentral:rRNA from 1 species